rnacentral:rRNA from 1 species
CCAAUAGCGUAUAUUAAAGUUGUUGCAGUUAAAAAGCUCGUAGUUGAAUUUCGGGAUUGACGUGAUGGUCGUGCCUUAAGGGGUAUGAACUGUUGCUGUUGCUUUCUCACCUUCUGGAGAAACUUGAUGUCCUUAAUUGGGUGUCUUGCGGAUCCAGGACCUUUACCUUGAAAAAAUUAGAGUGUUUAAAGCAGGCAUUUUGCUCGAAUACAUUAGCAUGGAAUAAUAGAAUAGGACGGCAUGGUUCUAUUUUGUUGGUUUCUAGGAUCACCGUAAUGAUUAAUAGGGAUAGUUGGGGGCAUUAGUAUUCAAGUGUCAGAGGUGAAAUUCUUGGAUUUAUUGAAGACUAACUACUGCGAAAGCAUUUGCCAAGGAUGUUUUCAUUAAUCAAGAACGAAAGUUAGGGGAUCGAAGACGAUCAGAUACCGUCGUAGUCUUAACCAUAAACUAUGCCGACUAGGAAUCAGACGAUGUUAAUUUUUUAAUGACUCGUUUGGCACCUUACG